UGGGGGAUAUUGCACAAUGGGCGAAAGCCUGAUGCAGCGACGCCGCGUGGGGGAUGAAGGCCUUCGGGUUGUAAACUUCUUUUGCUCUGAACAAGGCAUGCCUUUGGGGUGUGUUGAGUGUAGGGGUUGAUUAGCGCCGGCUAACUACGUGCCAGCAGCCGCGGUAAUACGUAGGGCGCGAGCGUUGUCCGGAAUUAUUGGGCGUAAAGGGCUUGUAGGUGGCUGGUCGCGUCUGUCGUGAAAGCUCAUGGCUUAACUGUGGGUUUGCGGUGGGUACGGGCUGGCUUGAGUGCAGUAGGGGAGGCUGGAAUUCCUGGUGUAGCGGUGGAAUGCGCAGAUAUCAGGAGGAAUACCGGUGGCGAAGGCGGGUCUCUGGGCUGUUACUGACGCUGAGGAGCGAAAGCGUGGGGAGCGAACAGG
rnacentral:rRNA from 1 species